rnacentral:lncRNA from 1 species
GGGGGGAGUGUAUAGGGGGACUUUCAGGAUAGCUUUUUAAAUGUAAACGAAGAAAAUAUCUAAUAAAAAAUUGAAAUGUAAAAAAAAACACACACACACUGGAGAGAAACCCUAUGAAUGUAAUCAAUGUGGGAAAGACUUUGCAGGUCACAGUUGUCUCCAAUAUCAUAAAAGAAUGCAUAAUGGAAAGAAACCUUAGAAAUAUAAUCAAUGUGAUAAAGCCUUUUCACAAAUUUAUUGUCUCUAUAAUCAUAAAAGUACCCAUAUUAGAUAGAAACUCAUGAAUGUCGUCAGUGUGCUAAAACCUGUGCAUAUCCCACUUGUCUUCAAAACGUAAAAGAUUCCACACUGGAAAGAAACCUCAUAAAAGCAAUCAAUGUGGUAAAGACUUUU